rnacentral:lncRNA from 1 species
GAAUGUCCAUUUUUUUAGAUCCCCCUUCAAGUAUCUGCAUGCAUAUAUAUAGACCAUUUUUUUGGGUUUUUUUUUCAAUAUAAAUAUAAACCAUAUAUAUAUAUAGUAUACUGUUUCAACCAAUAAAAAAAACUUUACGAUGAUUGUCAAUUUAUCGAUCGGAAUCUUUAAACACAAAACAUACUUUUUUUUGUUGGAAAUAAUACCCACAUAAUCAGAGCAUAUGUUAGUCGACAAAAAAAAAAAAAAAAAUCAGAGCAUAUGUUGUUGCAUGCCUCUCUGUACAAAAUAUUAUACAGUUAUGUUUUUACUUUAGGCAUAUAAAUAAUAAUUCGACAGGUCAAAUAUACGAGCUGUAUACUUUUAUACAUGGUGAUCACUAUCUUAAACAAACGACCGG